rnacentral:rRNA from 1 species
AUGAGCAACAUCUCUCCUUCAUUCAGCGCCCCCACCCUUCUGGCCACGUCCUCCUCCCUUCAUCAUUUCUUUCCUCUCGCUGGCACCCAGAAGGCCAAGCCUGUCCUCCCCUCUACCCGUCCCGAGCCUCCUAUGCACCGCAUCGAUAUUACCCACUUCAUCAAUUUCAAGCUAGAUCUCGCCACAAACAACUACACUCAGUGGACGUGGAAGUUCUACGCUAUCCUCACCAAAUACGACUACGCCCACCAUGUCGACCACAAGUCUGAUCCCCGUCUUCAAGAUGCCAAGUGGCGCAACGACGAUCUGACCAUUAUGUUGUGGUUCUAUGCUACCAUUUGCGAUGAGCUCUAUCAAGUGGCGAGGGAGCCGGAGAACACCGCGUAUACCGUUUGGGAUCAGUUGUACACCUUCUUCCGGGACAACCAGCCCGGAUGGGCCAUCCACAUCCGCGAAGAGUUAAGCGCCACCGAGCAAGGAGACAUGAUGGUGGCCGCCUACUACAAUCGGAUUAAGGCCCUCGCCGACGCCCUCGCCGACGCAGGUGAACCAGUCAACGAUGAGAUCUUGACAUUGCAAAUGAUCCGAGGACUCAACAACCGCUUCCAUGUGCUGGCAACUACUCUUCCCAUGCACAUGCCUUUUCCUUCCUUUAUCCAGGCUCGUUCCCUAUUGUUGCUCGAAGAAAUCAAUCUUAAUGCGCGUGACAGGGCCAAGGGAUCCUCCACCAUCACUAUUGGCACCAACACCGGCUCCAACUCCACCCCCGGUGGAAGCAACAAUGGGAAUCGAGGCGAUCACAACGCUUUUUCUAACACCUGGCCUGGACAGUCAGCACAACCACAACAACGACCCUAUAUGGGCUACUUUGCGCCAUGGGGGCGCCCUUCCCAUUGCCGAGGCAGCCGCCGCAUACUCAGUGGGCCCCUCGAAGCGUCGGCGGCGUCCUCAACCCACGCCCAUCUGUUCCAACACAGGGAUACUCGUUGCUCUACUCCAUGGCAUCCAUCUUUAUGUCGCCUCCCUUGCGGGACCAGUUCUCCGUGA